rnacentral:rRNA from 1 species
UACGGGGGGGGCAAGCGUUGUUCGGAAUUACUGGGCGUAAAGGGCUCGUAGGCGGCCAACUAAGUCAGACGUGAAAUCCCUCGGCUUAACCGGGGAACUGCGUCUGAUACUGGAUGGCUCGAGUUUGGGAGAGGGAUGCGGAAUUCCAGGUGUAGCGGUGAAACGCGUAGAUAUCUGGAGGAACACCGGUGGCGAAGGCGGCAUCCUGGACCAACACUGACGCUGAUGAGCGAAAGCCAGGGGAGCAAACGGG